UUCCUACGGGGGGCAGCAGUGAGGAAUAUUGGUCAAUGGGCGGGAGCCUGAACCAGCCAAGUCGCGUGAGGGAUGACGGCCCUAUGGGUUGUAAACCUCUUUUGCCGGGGAGCAAAGUGCCGCACGUGUGCGGUUUGGAGAGUACCCGGAGAAAAAGCAUCGGCUAACUCCGUGCCAGCAGCCGCGGUAAUACGGAGGAUGCGAGCGUUAUCCGGAUUUAUUGGGUUUAAAGGGUGCGCAGGCGGAAGAUCAAGUCAGCGGUAAAAUUGAGAGGCUCAACCUCUUCGAGCCGUUGAAACUGGUUU
rnacentral:rRNA from 1 species